UACGGGGGGAGCAAGCGUUGUUCGGAUUUACUGGGCGUAAAGCGCGCGCAGGCGGUCGUUCAAGUCGAGUGUGAAAGCCCCCGGCUCAACUGGGGAGGGUCACUCGAUACUGAUCGACUUGAAGGCAGAAGAGGGAAGCGGAAUUCCCGGUGUAGUGGUGAAAUGCGUAGAUAUCGGGAGGAACACCAGUGGCGAAGGCGGCUUUCUGGUCUGUUCUUGACGCUGAGGCGCGAAAGCUAGGGUAGCAAACGGG
rnacentral:rRNA from 1 species